rnacentral:sRNA from 1 species
AUGCGAAGAAAUGAUCA